rnacentral:rRNA from 1 species
UACGUAGGGGGCGAGCGUUGUCCGGAUUUAUUGGGCGUAAAGAGCGUGUAGGCGGCUUCACAGGUCUGCUGUGAAAACUCGAGGCUCAACCUCGAGCUGUCGGUGGAAACCGUGUGGCUAGAGUCCGGAAGAGGAGAGCGGAAUUCCCGGUGUAGCGGUGAAAUGCGCAGAUAUCGGGAAGAACACCCGUGGCGAAGGCGGCUCUCUGGGACGGUACUGACGCUGAGACGCGAAAGCGUGGGGAGCAAACAGG